UACGUAGGGUGCGAGCGUUAAUCGGAAUUACUGGGCGUAAAGCGUGCGCAGGCGGUGAUGUAAGACAGAUGUGAAAUCCCCGGGCUCAACCUGGGAACUGCGUUUGUGACUGUAUGACUAGAGUACGGUAGAGAGGGGUGGAAUUCCUGGUGUAGCAGUGAAAUGCGUAGAUAUCAGGAGGAACAUCGAUGGCGAAGGCAGCCCCUUGGACCUGUACUGACGCUCAUGCACGAAAGCGUGGGGAGCAAACAGG
rnacentral:rRNA from 1 species